UCACUCUGGUUUCUCUUCAUAAUACAAAAGUCUUUUGCCUUUUACCAAACACUUCCUUGAAGGGAAACGCCGAUGAGUUGAAACUACUUUUGUUGACCUUUGCUGUUUGGCCGAGC